ensembl:snRNA U2 U2 spliceosomal RNA
AUAUAUGUAAACAUUAAGACCCACCUACAUGGCAGUUUAAUAUCUGAUACGUCCCCCAGCGGGGACUACAUAUUAAGCGGAUUUUUAGAACAGGGAGGCGGCAAAGGGGCUUGCUCCUUCCGCCCUACGCAUCAACCCAGUAUUGCAGUGCCUCUGGGAGCGGUGCACUUUCU